rnacentral:rRNA from 1 species
GAUGAACGCUGGCGGCGUGCCUAAUACAUGCAAGUCGAGCGAACAGACGAGGAGCUUGCUCCUCUGACGUUAGCGGCGGACGGGUGAGUAACACGUGGAUAACCUACCUAUAAGACUAGGAUAACUUCGGGAAACCGGAGCUAAUACCGGAUAAUAUAUUGAACCGCAUGGUUCAAUAGUGAAAGACGGUUUUGCUGUCACUUAUAGAUGGAUCCGCGCCGCAUUAGCUAGUUGGUAAGGUAACGGCUUACCAAGGCGACGAUGCGUAGCCGACCUGAGAGGGUGCUCGGCCACACUGGAACUGAGACACGGUCCAGACUCCUACGGGAGGCAGCAGUAGGGAAUCUUCCGCAAAGGGCGAAAGCCUGACGGAGCAACGCCGCGUGAGUGAUGAAGGUCUUCGGAUCGUAAAACUCUGUUAUUAGGGAAGAACAAAUGUGUAAGUAACUAUGCACGUCUUGACGGUACCUAAUCAGAAAGCCACGGCUAACUACGUG